rnacentral:rRNA from 1 species
CGACGUGCGGCGUGCCUAUCAUGCACGUUGAGCGCUGAAGGUUGGUACUUGUACCGACUGGAUGAGCAGCGAACGGGUGAGUAACGCGUGGGGAAUCUGCCUUUGAGCGGGGGACAACAUUUGGAAACGAAUGCUAAUACCGCAUAACAACUUUAAACACAAGUUUUAAGUUUGAAAGAUGCAAUUGCAUCACUCAAAGAUGAUCCCGCGUUGUAUUAGCUAGUUGGUGAGGUAAAGGCUCACCAAGGCGAUGAUACAUAGCCGACCUGAGAGGGUGAUCGGCCACAUUGGGACUGACACACGGCCCAAACUCCUACGGGAGGCAGCAGUAGGGAAUCUUCGGCAAUGGACGAAAGUCUGACCGAGCAACGCCGCGUGAGUGAAGAAGGUUUUCGGAUCGUAAAACUCUGUUGGUAGAGAAGAACGUUGGUGAGAGUGGAAAGCUCAUCAAGUGACGGUAACUACCCAGAAAGGGACGGCUAACUACGUGCCAGCAGCCGCGGUAAUACGUAGGUCCCGAGCGUUGUCCGGAUUUGUUGGGCGUAAAGCGAGCGCAGGUGGUUUAUUAAGUCUGGUGUAAAAGGCAGUGGCUCAACCAUUGUAUGCAUUGGAUACUGGUAGACUUGAGUGCAGGAGAGGAUAGUGGAAUUCCAUGUGUAGCGUUGAAAUGCAUAGAUAUAUGUAGGAACACAUGUGGUCAUGGCUGCUCUCUGGCCUGUCACUGACACUGAGGCUCUAAAGCGUGGAGAGCAAAUAUGAUUACAUACGCUGGUAGUCUAUCUACACACUAUGAGUGCU